GCCUGGCUGGCUCAGUGGGAGGAGUGUGAGACUCCUGAUCUUGGGGUCACGAGUUCGAAUCCUGUGUUGGGGG
rnacentral:tRNA from 1 species